UUGUAACCUGCCAAAACAAUAC
rnacentral:siRNA from 1 species